GGCUUACCAAGGUGAUAACGGGUAACGGGGAAUCAGGGUUCGAUUCCGGAGAGGGAGCCUGAGAAACGGCUACCACAUCCAAGGAAGGCAGCAGGCGCGCAAAUUACCCAAUCCAGACACUGGGAGGUGGUGACGAGAAAUACCAGGUCGUUCCCAAAAGGAUUCGACACUGGAAUGAGUGCAAUUUAAAAAUUUCAUCGAGUAGCAACUGGAGGGCAAGUCUGGUGCCAGCAGCCGCGGUAAUUCCAGCUCCAGUAGUGUAUCUUAAAGUUGCUGCGGUUAAAACGCUCGUAGUUGGACAACAGAGUAACUUAGUGCGGGCGGGAAGUGCAAAUAUCCUUACAUUUAUGCAAUAGGGCGAAACAUGGAAGCCUCCGGGUGACUGUGCGUAGUUUUAUAUAUCAUUGUGAAUUGAUAACGCUUGUCGACCAUGCUGCUAGGUUACUUAUAUUUUUCGUGAGUAUAGUAUAUUACCUUUACUGUGUCGUAUGCUAUGUCUUACGUAGUGUGCCUUGAAUAAAUCAUAGUGCUCAAAGCAAGCUAUAGCGUGAAUGUUAAAGCAUGGAMCGAAUGUUUUGUGUAAGUAUUUGCAGUUGUAACUUCGGUURCAAUUGYUUAUACAGCACCAACCGCGAAAUAGAACAUUGGCAGCUAUUUCGGGUGAAGAUUAAGAGGGGCAAUUGGGGGCAUUAGUAUUUGGCCGCGAGAGGUGAAAUUCUUAGACCGGCCAAGGACUAACAAGUGCGAAAGCAUUUGCCAAGGUUGUUCCCAUUAAUCAAGAACGAAAGUGAGAGGUUCGAAGACGAUCAGAUACCGUCCUAGUUCUCACCGUAAACGAUGCCAACCCGGGAUCAGCUCGGAUGUAUUCAUCUGGAUCCAGGUUGGUCCCCCUGGGAAACCUUGAGUCUUUAGGUUCCGGGGGGAGUAUGGUUGCAAGGCUGAAACUUAAAGGAAUUGACGGAAGGGCACCACCAGGAGUGGAGCCUGCGGCUUAAUUUGACUCAACACGGGAAAACUCACCUGGUCCGGACAUCGAUAGGAUUGACAGACUAAUAGAUCUUUCAUGAUACGGUGGGUGGUGGUGCAUGGCCGUUCUUAGUUCGUGGAGUGAUCUGUCAGGUUUAUUCCGGUAACGAACGAGACCACGAUCUCCAUUUAGAGAGCUCUACGGACUCAUUCUGUGUGCGUUUACUUAUGUUGGCGUGUAUGGGAUGUGUUUCUUAGGGUGUGCAUGCAGCAAUGUGUGUCCCUAUGGAGAGACAGCCGGAUAUUAAGCCGGAGGAAGCGUGGCAAUAACAGGUCUGUGAUGCCCUUCCGAUGUUCAGGGCCGCACGCGCGCUACAAUGAUAACAACAACGAGAAUCUGGGCUGAAAAGUUCUGGGAAAUCUUGUCAAUUGUUAUCGUGAUGGGAAUCGAGCAUUGUAAUUAUUGCUCGUGAAAUAGGAAUUCCUUGKAACUGCGACUCAUUCAGGUCGCAAUGAAUAAGUCUCUGCCCYYYGUACACACCGCCCGUCGCUACUACCGAGUGAAUGGUGUCAUGAUGUCUUGGGACUGGACGUUGUUGGCAGUGCAAACUGCGGACGAUGCUAGGAGCAAGACAAAAUGGUUCUAUUUACGAGGAASGUAAAAGU
rnacentral:rRNA from 1 species